rnacentral:lncRNA from 1 species
UGCAACAAUAGUUGGUUUGUCCUUCCUGAUAGCAUAAUCAAUGUCCAUGCACCCUAAAUGAAGAAAAAUUCUCUCCUUCCACAUCUUAUAUUUGUCCCCUUUCAGUUCGGAAAUGUCACACUUGAUAUCAGAAAACAUUUGCAGAUUGCACGACUGUAAAAAAUUAAAUAUACAUACUUAUAUUACAUAAAUUUGAGAUCAAUAAGUUCAUAUCAUGUUUUACUAAUGUAAAUCAUGUUCCAGAAAUUAUGAAUUUAUUGACAUAAAACUUGCCUGUGUGCUGAAGUUUUAAUUCAAUUAAAUUCAUCUAUCUUUACGAUAAGACUAUCAAAUUAUGUUCCUUUUCUCAAUUCUUGUGAGUAAAUUAAGAAUUAUAAUUUGAUAUUUUACCCUAAUUAAUCAUAAAAAUAUAAUAAAAUUCCUGUGAGAUAAAAUUAUUAUAUAAAAUAUGAUCAAUUACAAUAAAUGUCACUUUCCCAUAUGUGAUCCUAAACAACUUAAUAUAUACAGUUUGCAUAAUUAAAGAUGUUGUGGCUAAUCUCUAAUUACUAAAAAGUGUAUGGAUCACUAGACAUUUAGUUUAUUCUAAAAUGUAUGCAUAUAUCAAUGGGCAAUAUACCAGUAAAAUGGCACGACAACAACACAAUGUUUGCAGCAAAAGUUUUGGAUUAUUUGUGCAAAUUUGGAAAGUGCAAGUCCCAAAAGUGAACUUACUGCUCAAGCCAUCAUGUUGAAGCUCAUCAUCCACAGAAAUAUAUAAAACUAUUCAUAAUAGAUGUUAAGUAUUCCAUUUAAUUAUUUGAUAACCGUAAAUUUGGUUUGGGCCACAAAAUAUCCAAAAUGUUCAUCUUUUCUAUUGGCCAAAAAAUUAGUCAAUUGGGCCAAACCAUUUCAAUGUCCAAAUACUUGGCCCAUAUAGGUCAUCCCUAACCUUCAGCCGGGUCUUUCAUCCCUGUUCAACCAGUUCAUGCUACAGCUAUGAAAAUCAAUN